rnacentral:rRNA from 1 species
AUGGGUGUUGCAGCGGUGGACCUGAUCAAGAACGCGCAGGCGCAGGCGAUCAUUGGGCCUCCGACCUCUGCUGAGGCCGAGUUCGUGGCCCGCAUCGGCGACCACGCCCACGUCCCGGUCAUCUCCUACUCCGCCACCUCCCCCGCGUUGACCGCCGUGCAGACGCCCUUCUUCGUGCGCACGGCGGCCAACGACUCCUUCCAGACGGCGCCCGUCGCGGCCGUCCUCGGCGCCUUCAGGUGGCGCGCGGCGGUCGUCGUGUACGAGGACACGCCCUACGGGACCGGCAUCCUCCCGGCGCUCUCCGACGCGCUCCAGGGCGUCGGCGCCAAGAUCAUGGACCGCACCGCCGUGCCCAGCGACGCGGACGACGCCCGACUAGACGCGGUGCUGUACCACUUCAUGGCGAUGCCCACGCGCGUGUUCGUCGUGCACAUGCUGUAUCCUCUCGCCGCGCGGCUCUUCCGCCGCGCGAAGAAGGCCGGCAUGAUGUCCCAGGAGUACGUCUGGGUCGCCACGGACGGCGUCGGCAGCUUCAUGGACAGGCUCAGCCCCGAGGACGUCGACGCGAUGCAGGGCGUCGUCAGCCUCCAGCCUUACGUGCAGCUGACGGAUGCCGCCAAGAACUUCUCGGCACGGCUGAUGGCGAGGUCCCGGCGGGAGAAUCCGGCAGAUGGGGGUGUCGGCGACUCAACCUUGAUGAGGCUAUGGUCGUACGACACGGCAUGGGCAAUCGCUGCGGCCGUCGAGACGGCCCGCGUCCCCAGCCCGGCGUUCCAGACGCCUGGAGGGACCACGGCGCUGACGGACUUGGACCGGCUCGGCGUGUCGGCCACCGGAACAUCACUUCUCAAGGCGGUGCUCGCCACGACGUUUGAGGGUAUAGCCGGCAAGUUCAAGCUGGUAGACGGGCAGCUGCAGCUGCCGGCGUAUGAGGUGGUGAACAUCAUCGGCAGAGGAGCCAGGACGGUCAGCUUCUGGACGCCGGAGUUCGGGAUCACGCAAGAUCUGAACCCCAACAGCGCCAAGGCGCUGAGACAAAUCCUGUGGCCAGGCGAGCCACGGUCCGCUCCGAAAGGCUGGACCGUGUCACCAAAUGGGCGGGUUCAAGCAGUUCGUGGACGUCUCCCAGAAUUCCACAACCGGAGUGGAGAAGAUCACAGGCUAUUGCAUCGACGUGUUCGAUGA